GUGUUAGUUCGCUAAACACAUAUACUAAAUUGGAACGAUUACAGAGAAGAUUAGCAUGGCCCCUGCGCAAGGAUUGACACGCAAAUCGUUGAAGCGUUCCUCAUUUUU
rnacentral:snRNA from 1 species